rnacentral:rRNA from 1 species
GUGGGGAAUAUUCCGCAAUGGACGAAAGUCUGACGGAGCAACGCCGCGUGCGUGAUGAAGGUUUUCGGACUGUAAAGCUCUGUUGUUUAGGACGAAAGUGCCUGUUGCGAACAGUUACAGGUAUUGACGGUACUAAACGAGGAAGCCACGGCUAACUACGUGCCAGCAGCCGCGGUAAUACGUAGGUGGCAAGCGUUGUCCGGAAUUAUUGGGCGUAAAGAGCAUGUAGGCGGAGAUAUAAGUCUGUUGUGAAAAUGCGGGGCUCAACCCCGUAUUGCGAUGGAAACUGAAUUUCUUGAGUGCAGGAGAGGAAAGAGGAAUUCCCAGUGUAGCGGUGAAAUGCGUAGAUAUUGGGAGGAACACCAGUGGCGAAGGCGCCUUUCUGGGCUGUGUCUGACGCUGAGAUGCGAAAGCCAGGGUAGCGAACGGGAUUAGAUACCCUAGUAGUCC